rnacentral:rRNA from 1 species
ACGAACGCUGGCGGCGUGCCCUAAAAACAUGGCAAGUUCGAACGGGGGGUAGCAAUACCUAGUGGCGAACGGCGGAGGUAAUACGUGAACAACGUGCCUUAAAGACUGGGAUAGCCAGGGGAAACCCUGAGUAAUACCGGAUGUGGCAACGAGAUGGCAUCUUCUCGUUACUAAAUGGUUUUUUCGCUUUAAGAGCGGUUCACGACCUAUCAGCUAGUUGGUGAGGGUAACGGCCCACCAAGGCGACGGACGGGUUAGGGGGUCUGAGAGGAUGAUCCCCCGAGUGGGAACUGAGACACGGCCCACCACACCUACGGGUGGCAGCCAGUUGGGAAUCUUGCACAAUGGGGGAAACCCUGGAUGCAGCGACGGCCGCGUGGAGGGACGAAGGGUCUAGGCUCGUAAACUCCUUUUUUCGGGAAAGGAACUUAGGACGGUACCCGAAGAAUAAGCACCGGCUAACUUACGUGCCAGCAGCCGCGGUAAGACGUAGGGGUGCAAGCGUUGGUCCGGAUUUACUGGGGCGUAAAGAGCGCCGUUAGGCCGGUCCAUUAAGUGUGAAGCUAAAUCUCUCUCGGCUCAACCGAGAAACUAUUUCGCAUACUGAUGGGCUGGAGUGAUGCAGAGGUGGAUAGAAUUCCCGGUGGUAGCGGUGAAAUGCGUUGAUAUCGGGAGGAAUAACCCGUGGCGAAGGCGGUCCACUGGGCCAUCAACUGACGCUGAGGCGCGAAAAGGCGUGGGUAGCAAACAGGAAUUAGAUACCCCUGGUAGUCCACGCCCCUAAACGAUGGAUGCUAGGCGUAGGAGGUAUCGACCCCUCCUGUGCCGCAGCUAACGCAAUUAAGCAUCCCGCCUGGGGACUACGGGCCGCAAGGUUUGAAACUCAAAUGAAUUGACGGGGACCCGCACAAGCGGUGGAGCAUGUGGAUUAAUUCGAUACUAACCGAAGAAACCUUACCCAGGUUUGACAUCGAGGGAAAGACUGUGAAAAGCAGUCCCCCACCCACAAGGUGGCCCGAAGACAGAUGUUUGCAUGGCUGUCGUCAGCUCGUGCCGUGAGGUGUACGGUUAAGUCCGCCAACGAGCGCAACCCCCGUCCUGUGUUACCAGCGGAGUAAAGUCGGGCACUCACAGGAGGACCGCCGGUUGUAAGCCGGAGGAAGGUGGGGAUGACCGUCAAGAGUCAGCAUGGCUCUUACGCCUGGGGCUUCACACAUGCUACAAUGGGCGCAACAAAGGGCAGCAAUAACCGUGAGGUGGAGCUAAUCCCAAAAAUACGCCCCCAGUUCAGAUUGCAGUCCUGCAACACUCGACUGCAUGAAGUCGGAAUCGCUAGUAAACGCAGGUCAGCUAUACUGCGUUGAAUACGUUCCCGGGUCUUGUACACACCGCCCGUCAAGUCACCUGAAUUGUCUUCACCCGAAGUCCGUGGCCUAACCGCAAGGAAGGAGCGGCCGAAGGUGAGGGGAGUAAGGGGGACU